rnacentral:ncRNA from 2 species
ACCAACACCUCGGGGUGCCUUGGAAACAGGGCUGAGAUGCACGAUGCGAACCCGUUGAACCUGAACCGGUUAGAACCGGCGGAGGGAAGGUUUGGCGCAUCGGC